GCCAUUUUCAGCGCCAGAGGGCCUUCUCGGCCACGCCUUCUCCUGCAGGCGGCACCUCCGUCCCUUCCGCCAUCUUCAGCGCCAGAGGGUCUUUUCUGCCGCCCUCCCUGGUGGUGUUCCUGCUAUCUUCAGCGCCAGAGGACCUGCUCGGCCAGGCCAGGCCCUCCCCUGCUGGCGCUGCUGCACCGCUGCCGCCAUCCUCAGCACCAGAAAGGUGUACCAAGGCUCUCAGUAUCCCACGCCACAGCUUCCUACUGAGGAAGUAUACUAGGUGGGAGUGAGAAGAUGUGACAUUGUCAGAGGCGUUAAAGAUGGAUUCUCAUCGAGUCUUUUUAAGAUGCCGAAAAGAACCAAGAAAAAUGAGACUCAGUUCUGCCCAGGCCGUGAGCUUCACUGCCAGGUCUCCGCUGAAGUGUUGCUUCCUCAAAGAGGCCCUUCCUGAUUUCUCCAUCUCCCUACUAAGUCGUGAAUCUCUGAAUAAAGUUCAAGCCCCAUAAAGGCAAGAUCUGUAUAUGCCUGGC